rnacentral:rRNA from 1 species
AUACGGAGGAAGCGAGCGUUAAUCGGAAUUACUGGGCGUAAAGCGCGCGUAGGCGGCUUUGUAAGUCGGAUGUGAAAGCCCUGGGCUUAACCUGGGAAUGGCAUUCGAUACUGCAGAACUAGAGUAUGGUAGAGGGAAGUGGAAUUUCCGGUGUAGUGGUGAAAUGCGUAGAUAUCGGAAGGAACACCAGUGGCGAAGGCGACUUCCUGGGCCAAUACUGACGCUGAGGUGCGAAAGCGUGGGGAGCAAACAGGAUUAGAAACCCCGGUAGUCC